GCAAGGUUAAAACUCAAAGGAAUUGACGGGGACCCGCACAAGCGGUGGAUGAUGUGGAUUAAUUCGAUGCAACGCGAAAAACCUUACCUGGUCUUGACAUGUAACGAACGCCGCAGAGAUGUGGUGGUGCCCGAAAGGGAGCGUUAACACAGGUGCUGCAUGGCUGUCGUCAGCUCGUGUCGUGAGAUGUUGGGUUAAGUCCCGCAACGAGCGCAACCCUUGCCAUUAGUUGCCAUCAUUAAGUUGGGCACUCUAAUGGGACUGCCGGUGACAAACCGGAGGAAGGUGGGGAUGACGUCAAGUCCUCAUGGCCCUUAUGACCAGGGCUUCACACGUCAUACAAUGGUCGGUACAGAGGGUCGCGAAGCCGCGAGGUGGAGCCAAUCUCAUAAAACCGAUCGUAGUCCGGAUCGCACUCUGCAACUCGAGUGCGUGAAGUCGGAAUCGCUAGUAAUCGCAGAUCAGCAUGCUGCGGU
rnacentral:rRNA from 1 species